GAUGAACGCUGGCGGCGUGCCUAAUACAUGCAAGUCGAGCGAACGGACGAGAAGCUUGCUUCUCUGAUGUUAGCGGCGGACGGGUGAGUAAAACGUGGAUAACCUACCUAUAAGACUGGGAUAACUUCGGGAAACCGGAGCUAAUACCGGAUAAUAUUUUGAACCGCAUGGUUAAAAAGUGAAAGACGGUCUUGCUGUCACUUAUAGAUGGAUCCGCGCUGCAUUAGCUAGUUGGUAAGGUAACGGCUUACCAAGGCAACGAUGCAUAGCCGACCUGAGAGGGUGAUCGGCCACACUGGAACUGAGACACGGUCCAGACUCCUACGGGAGGCAGCAGUAGGGAAUCUUCCGCAAUGGGCGAAAGCCUGACGGAGCAACGCCGCGUGAGUGAUGAAGGUCUUCGGAUCGUAAAACUCUGUUAUUAGGGAAGAACAUAUGUGUAAGUAACUGUGCACAUCUUGACGGUACCUAAUCAGAAAGCCACGGCUAACUACGUG
rnacentral:rRNA from 1 species